UUAAAUUGAAGAGUUUGAUCAUGGCUCAGAUUGAACGCUGGCGGCAGGCCUAACACAUGCAAGUCGAACGGUAACAGGAAGCAGCUUGCUGCUUUGCUGACGAGUGGCGGACGGGUGAGUAAUGUCUGGGAAACUGCCUGAUGGAGGGGGAUAACUACUGGAAACGGUGGCUAAUACCGCAUAACGUCGCAAGACCAAAGAGGGGGACCUUCGGGCCUCUUGCCAUCAGAUGUGCCCAGAUGGGAUUAGCUUGUUGGUGAGGUAACGGCUCACCAAGGCGACGAUCCCUAGCUGGUCUGAGAGGAUGACCAGCCACACUGGAACUGAGACACGGUCCAGACUCCUACGGGAGGCAGCAGUGGGGAAUAUUGCACAAUGGGCGCAAGCCUGAUGCAGCCAUGCCGCGUGUAUGAAGAAGGCCUUCGGGUUGUAAAGUACUUUCAGCGGGGAGGAAGGUGUUGUGGUUAAUAACCGCAGCAAUUGACGUUACCCGCAGAAGAAGCACCGGCUAACUCCGUGCCAGCAGCCGCGGUAAUACGGAGGGUGCAAGCGUUAAUCGGAAUUACUGGGCGUAAAGCGCACGCAGGCGGUCUGUCAAGUCGGAUGUGAAAUCCCCGGGCUCAACCUGGGAACUGCAUUCGAAACUGGCAGGCUUGAGUCUUGUAGAGGGGGGUAGAAUUCCAGGUGUAGCGGUGAAAUGCGUAGAGAUCUGGAGGAAUACCGGUGGCGAAGGCGGCCCCCUGGACAAAGACUGACGCUCAGGUGCGAAAGCGUGGGGAGCAAACAGGAUUAGAUACCCUGGUAGUCCACGCCGUAAACGAUGUCUACUUGGAGGUUGUGCCCUUGAGGCGUGGCUUCCGGAGCUAACGCGUUAAGUAGACCGCCUGGGGAGUACGGCCGCAAGGUUAAAACUCAAAUGAAUUGACGGGGGCCCGCACAAGCGGUGGAGCAUGUGGUUUAAUUCGAUGCAACGCGAAGAACCUUACCUGGUCUUGACAUCCACGGAAGUUUUCAGAGAUGAGAAUGUGCCUUCGGGAACCGUGAGACAGGUGCUGCAUGGCUGUCGUCAGCUCGUGUUGUGAAAUGUUGGGUUAAGUCCCGCAACGAGCGCAACCCUUAUCCUUUGUUGCCAGCGGUCCGGCCGGGAACUCAAAGGAGACUGCCAGUGAUAAACUGGAGGAAGGUGGGGAUGACGUCAAGUCAUCAUGGCCCUUACGACCAGGGCUACACACGUGCUACAAUGGCGCAUACAAAGAGAAGCGACCUCGCGAGAGCAAGCGGACCUCAUAAAGUGCGUCGUAGUCCGGAUUGGAGUCUGCAACUCGACUCCAUGAAGUCGGAAUCGCUAGUAAUCGUGGAUCAGAAUGUCACGGUGAAUACGUUCCCGGGCCUUGUACACACCGCCCGUCACACCAUGGGAGUGGGUUGCAAAAGAAGUAGGUAGCUUAACCUUCGGGAGGGCGCUUACCACUUUGUGAUUCAUGACUGGGGUGAAGUCGUAACAAGGUAACCGUAGGGGAACCUGCGGUUGGAUCACCUCCUUACCUUAAAGAA
rnacentral:rRNA from 1 species